rnacentral:rRNA from 1 species
UACGGAGGGUGCAAACGUUGCUCGGAAUCAUUGGGCGUAAAGCGCACGUAGGCGGUCUGCUAUGUCGGGUGUGAAAUCCCUCGGCUUAACCGAGGAAGUGCAUUCGAAACUGGCAGACUUGAAUACUCAAGAGGGUCUCGGAAUUCCCGGUGUAGAGGUGAAAUUCGUAGAUAUCGGGAGGAACACCAGUGGCGAAGGCGGAGACCUGGGGAGAUAUUGACGCUGAGGUGCGAAAGCGUAGGGAGCAAACAGG